UACGUAGGGUGCAAGCGUUGUCCGGAAUUACUGGGCGUAAAGAGCUCGUAGGUGGUUUGUCGCGUUGUCCGUGAAAACUCACAACUCAAUUGUGGGCGUGCGGGCGAUACGGGCAGACUGGAGUACUGCAGGGGAGAGUGGAAUUCCCGGUGUGAGCGGUGAAAUGCGCAGAUAUCGGGAAGAACACCCGUGGCUAAGGCGGCUCUCUAGUACGGUACUGACGCUGAGACGCGAAAGCGUGGGGAGCGAACAGG
rnacentral:rRNA from 1 species